rnacentral:rRNA from 1 species
AUUGAACGCUGGCGGCAGGCCUAACACAUGCAAGUCGAGCGGAGCGGCGGACGGGUGAGUAAUGCCUAGGAAUCUGCCUGGUAGUGGGGGAUAACGUCCGGUAACGGGCGCUAAUACUGCAUACUAUCAGAUGAGCCUAGGUCGGAUUAGCUAGUGGGUGGGGUAAAGGUCUACCAAGGCGACGAUCCGUAACUGGUCCUAGAGGAUGAUCAGUCACACUGGAACGGAGACACGGUCCAGACUCCUACGGGAGGCAGCAUUGGGGAAUAUUGGACAAUGGGCGAAAGCCUGAUCCAGCCAUGCCGCGUGUGUGAAGAAGGUCUUCGGGUUGUAAAGCACUUUAAGUUGGGAGGCGUUACCAGCAGAAGAAGCACCGGCUAACUUCGUGCCAGCAGCCGAGGUAAUUA